AGAGUUUGAUCAUGGCUCAGAGUGAACGCUGGCGGCAGGCCUAACACAUGCAAGUCGAGCGGCAGCGGGUCCUUCGGGAUGCCGGCGAGCGGCGGACGGGUGAGGAAUGCAUCGGAAUCUACCCUGUUGUGGGGGAUAACGUAGGGAAACUUACGCUAAUACCGCAUACGACCUACGGGUGAAAGUGGGGGACCUUCGGGCCUCACGCGAUUGGAUGAGCCGAUGCCGGAUUAGCUAGUUGGUGGGGUAAAGGCCUACCAAGGCGACGAUCCGUAGCUGGUCUGAGAGGAUGAUCAGCCACACUGGAACUGAGACACGGUCCAGACUCCUACGGGAGGCAGCAGUGGGGAAUAUUGGACAAUGGGCGCAAGCCUGAUCCAGCCAUGCCGCGUGUGUGAAGAAGGCCUUCGGGUUGUAAAGCACUUUUGUUGGGGAAGAAACCGACCGGAUUAAUACUUCGGUUGAAUGACGGUACCCAAAGAAUAAGCACCGGCUAACUUCGUGCCAGCAGCCGCGGUAAUACGAAGGGUGCAAGCGUUACUCGGAAUUACUGGGCGUAAAGCGUGCGUAGGCGGUUAGUUAAGUCUGCUGUGAAAGCCCUGGGCUCAACCUGGGAACUGCAGUGGAUACUGGCUAGCUAGAGUGUGUCAGAGGAUGGUGGAAUUCCCGGUAGCGGUGAAAUGCGUAGAGAUCGGGAGGAACACCAGUGGCGAAGGCGGCCAUCUGGGACAACACUGACGCUGAGGCACGAAAGCGUGGGGAGCAAACAGGAUUAGAUACCCUAGUAGUCC
rnacentral:rRNA from 1 species